rnacentral:miRNA from 1 species
AGGUUGUCCAUGGUGUGUUCAUU